CGUGAGCUUAUUAAUUGGGGAUGCAAGAGACAGAGUAACACUAAAGCUAAGAAUGGAUGUGUUUUAGGGAUAACGUGAUCCGCGCCGACCUACUUUAUUUUUCUUUCAUCGUCAAGCGAAAAAUGAGAUUACCUCACAAACUCCCUGUAAUAGAGGCAACUACUAGUAUUGGUUAUGUUUCAACAAAGAACACCCAAUCCUAAUACUUCGUUCUUGGUGAACGAUAGUCUCAGAAAGUGUGGCGUUCAUAUCGCAUCUAAGUGUGGUUUGUCUUGUUUUGAAAUUGGCCUGUCGCAUGAGUCAGACGGGCCUUUAGAGUGUUACUGCUAUACUUGUGUAACCCACCCAUUUCUGGUCUGGUUGGUUGCAGUAUCACGUUGUAACUCGGAGAGGACCUGCAAUGUGAUUGCUGGCAGUGACUUUUGACUAAGGAAAUCAGGUUGUCAAGGAAAAGUUAACAACAAGGAUGUGAGGAAGACGAAUCUGUUGCUGUCUUACAAACACAUGUCUCGGUAUUUACUGUUCACCCUUACGUAAAAAUGUUUUGUUCAACGGAACCCUACAAAUGAGCCUGAUGCCUCGUGUGCUGCAAAUAAUGAAACCUACACCAUACUAAACGAACGGCGACGUUGAAGGCAGUCUUAAAAAGUUAACCGAAAAUAUUGCCACCGCCAAGUUGUCAAGAAAAAUGGCAGCUGGCGGAGAUGAUCAAUGGCCAAGAACAGGGAGUCACGGAUAUUACUUCCUGAAGAAAAACUUUCACAAGCCAUCUUAUUGCUACCAUUGUUCUGAUUUGGUAUGGGGACUUCUUGGACAAGGAUACGUUUGUGAAAUUUGUAAUUUCGUCGUGCACGAUCGCUGCCUUAAGGGAGUUGUAUCACCGUGAUUCCACAUUGCCACCGCACUAAUUGAGGCAGGCUUUAAGACCAAGUCUUCUGCUUGGAAUUAAUUUGAUCUAGUUGUUGAUGUUUAAAAUUAUUAUUAUCACUGUGUGCUUUGAAAAAAUACUGUUAUUCCUUAUUUCAUUAUUUCUAUGUUUUUAAUAUUACUAAUUACUAUUA